UACAGAGGUGGCAAGCGUUGUUCGGAUUUAUUGGGCGUAAAGGGUCUGUAGGCGGCCUGAAAAGUCGGAUGUGAAAUACUGCAGCUUAACUGCGGAACUGCAUUCGAAACUCUCAGGCUAGAGUAUGAGAGGGGUAAAGGGAAUUCCCGGUGUAAGGGUGAAAUCUGCAGAGAUCGGGAGGAACACCAGUCGCGAAGGCGCUUUACUGGCUCAUCACUGACGCUGAGGGACGAAAGCUAGGGUAGCAAACGGG
rnacentral:rRNA from 2 species